GCAGUUGUGGUUCACUGGUAGAACGCUUGCUUAGCAUGUGUGAAGCACUGGGUUUGAUUCUCAGCAUUGCA
rnacentral:tRNA from 1 species